rnacentral:rRNA from 1 species
GAUGAACGCUGGCGGCGUGCCUAAUACAUGCAAGUAGAGCGAACAGAGGAGAAGUUUGCUCUCCGGAUGAUUUCCGCGCGCGGGUGAGUAGCGCGGGGAUACCCUCCGUAUAAGACUGGGAAAACUUCGAGACAACAGAUAUAAUACCGGAAAAGUUGUUGAUCCGUAAGGUUCAAUAGAGAAAGACGGUUUUGCUAUUACUAAUAGGUGGUUCCGCGUCGCAUUUGCUUGUUGGUAUGGUAACGGCUUACCAAGGCAACGAUUAGUAGCCGACCUGAGAGGGUGACCGGCCACACUGGAACGGAGCCACGGUCCAGACUCCUACGGGAGGCACAAGUAGGGAAUCUUCCGCAAUGGGCGAAAGCCUGACGGAGCAACGCCGCGGGAGUGAUGAAGUUCUUCGGAUCGUAAACCUCUGUUAUUGGGGAAGAACAAAUGUGUAAGUAACUAUGCACGUCUUGACGGUACCUAAUCAGAAAGCCACGGCUAACUACGUG